GGGAUUACAGGUGCCUGCCACCACACUCAGGAGUCUUCAGCCAUGAAAAGUGUGAAAGCAUGGUCAGGAUUACAGGCCUGGGAGCCUAAAAUUGGUUUCUGUACGUAUGUAUAUCAAAGACAAGUGCUGGAUUUUGGCAGAAUGCAAAAGAGAGAGGAGGCAAUCCAAAUGUUAAGUUCCUCGUACACGAGAAAAAUAAAGUGUGUAGGCCACUCUGAAGAUCAAGUGCCACCUGUUAUGGGAAAGGGUACAAAAGACCUUUGACCUGUCUGCUGCUGGGGAGUUUUGGCCACAUCUGGGAUUUCCAUCAGCACUCACCUUCU